CCUACCCAUCCGGAGUGGUCUGCCCCUUUCUCUGGUCUCUGCCUGCCCUCCGUGUACGGGACCCGAUUUCAGAUGAUACCUGACAAGCUUCCGAGGUUGCAACCCAACAAGGGACAGGCAAUGGAGACUUCUCUUUAAAUUCACCGAAACGUAGCAGCGGUUCCCAGAUCUGGGAAGCAGCAGCAUGCUGGACGCCGGGACCAGGAGCAAGCCAGCACCGCUCCCUUCCGAGAACCUAGAACCACGAGUGAGAGCGCGAGGCUGCGCGAAGAGGAGUUUAGAAAAGCGAGCAGCUGCGGGCCGAGGAGGAGCCACAGAGACCUGGGGACUUGGAUGGCCCCAGACUGACUAGAGACCAGGGGUCCCUGCUUGCAUGUCAAAGACUGACCCCAUCCUCUACCUGGGGCUGUAUAAGCCUUUGGGUUUGGGGACAAUUAAGGAGUGAAGGAGCCCCAUGGAGGAGAUACUGAGCUUCCUGCUCAUCAGGCAAAUGGGGAAUUAAGCCAGUUUUCUUUAUGGGAGAAAAUGUAAAAAGACAGGAUCACCUUGCACCCUCUCUUUGUGGGUCAGUUCAUCCUACUGACUCAGGUAUCACCCGGACUCUGAGAUAUCUUUGCACUGGGGUAACAUCUCCCACCUUAGCAGCAACUUCUAGAACCUGUGCUCCAACCAACCUGGGCUGCCUCCUUUCUCCAACUGCCCCUUGGCCUUCUGCCUCUGGGGCUUUGCUCUUACUGCCCCCUGGCCUCCAGUGCCUUCCCUUCCCACCCGUAAUCAUUAAAAUCCUACUCAUUCUUUACGACCUAAUUCCAGUGUGACUUGCGACAUGAUGCCUCUCUGAUCACUUCACCCAGAAGCCAUCUUCCUUUCCUUUUACUUUUGCAGGAUUUUCUUUUGGCAUUUGCAUGCCUCUUUUUCACAUCACACCUAAUAGUGUAUUGUAGUUAUUUGUCAAUUUGUCUUUUUAUAGCUAAUAGAUUGUAAACUGCAUAUCUUUAUGUCUCCCAUAGUGCCGUAUACAUAGAAAGUACCCCUUAAAUAAAAAAAUAAAAUAAAAUUGCUACCAAGGUGUGGUAGACAUUGGGAAUGUCUUUCCAAUACCUCUUAUCCUCCUCCCCAUUGUGUAGUCACCAUUGGUGUGAGUGGCAUUGGCCUCACUCAAUUCUAGGGGUGGUCCCCAAUGGUGUAAGACACUCCCAACCCACUUGCCAAAGUGAUAGGUUUUUUUGAGCCUGAGCCAAUCGGCACAUGGUCCUGGGGGUCCAAUCAGAAUGAGGCUCAGGACUUAAGCACAAUGAUUAUGGGAAGCGACAGCCCCUCUCCCCCCCAGACUAAUUGUCAAGAAAUUCCAACUGAGUUGUUCAGUUCCAACUGAGCUGCUGUUCACAGGCAUCUUGCAACCAUGAAGAAAGCCAGCCUAGAAAGGAAUCUGGCCCACAAAGGAGGACAGGGCAGAGAGAAUCAGAGAAACAGAGCUGGGGCCCUGGUUAAACCAUACUGGAAGCCUGCUCUAACAUUCAGCCUUUCAGCCAUGUGAACCAAUAAAUGCUCUUCAUGGUUUCUCUCUUGCAACCCAAAGUAUCCGACCCAGUGCACCGGGAACGCAUCAUUGUGGAUUCACACGUGCACAUGUGCAUUUGCAUGUACGCACACACACAACCUGAAUCUUACUAGGGAGAAGGGAGAAAACACACAUCUCCAAUUCCUGGGGUGGUGGCAACAUCUCAUUUUACCAAACUGCACACUUUAAAGCUUUUCAUAACAGUUACCAAGACAUGGAACUGAUGUCUUUUGAUAAUUUCUCAUUGAUUUCUGUAUUAAAAAUGAUUUUGUAGUUUUAACCUGAAUUCUUAAGAAUAUCUGACUCUAGCAACUAGUAAUAAAUUGUGAAAUUUUUUCCUUUAAAAAAAUUAAUAUAUUGUUUGUGGCCCCUUUAAUAGUACUUAAAGUAAUAAAAUCAG
rnacentral:lncRNA from 1 species